UACGAAGGGGGCUAGCGUUGCUCGGAAUCACUGGGCGUAAAGCGCACGUAGGCGGCUUUCUAAGUCAGGGGUGAAAACCUGGAGCUCAACUCCAGAACUGCCUUUGAUACUGGGAAGCUUGAGUCCGGAAGAGGUGAGUGGAACUGCGAGUGUAGAGGUGAAAUUCGUAGAUAUUCGCAAGAACACCAGUGGCGAAGGCGGCUCACUGGUCCGGUACUGACGCUGAGGUGCGAAAGCGUGGGGAGCAAACAGG
rnacentral:rRNA from 1 species